rnacentral:tRNA from 1 species
AUAGAUUUAAGUUAAGUUAAACUAUUAAUUUUCAAAAUUAAAAAUAUUUAAUCUAUA